rnacentral:rRNA from 1 species
GAAACGGGUGGUAAUGCCGGAUGCUCCGACUCCUCGCAUGGGGUGUCGGGAAAGAUUUCAUCGGUAUGGGAUGGGGUCGCGUCCUAUCAGGUAGUCGGCGGGGUAACGGCCCACCGAGCCUACGACGGGUAGCCGGCCUGAGAGGGCGACCGGCCACAUUGGGACUGAGAUACGGCCCAGACUCCUACGGGAGGCAGCAGUGGGGAAUAUUGCACAAUGGGCGCAAGCCUGAUGCAGCGACGCCGCGUGCGGGAUGACGGCCUUCGGGUUGUAAACCGCUUUUGAUCGGGAGCAAGCCUUCGGGUGAGUGUACCUUUCGAAUAAGCACCGGCUAACUACGUGCCAGCAGCCGCGGUAAUACGUAGGGUGCAAGCGUUAUCCGGAAUUAUUGGGCGUAAAGGGCUCGUAGGCGGUUCGUCGCGUCCGGUGUGAAAGUCCAUCGCUUAACGGUGGAUCUGCGCCGGGUACGGGCGGGCUGGAGUGCGGUAGGGGAGACUGGAAUUCCCGGUGUAACGGUGGAAUGUGUAGAUAUCGGAA